rnacentral:rRNA from 1 species
ACUCAAAGGAAUUGACGGGGGCCCGCACAAGUGGUGGAGCAUGUGGUUUAAUUCGAUGAUACGCGAGGAACCUUACCUGGGCUAGAAUGUGCGUGAAGUGGUCAGAAAUGGUCACGUCCUUCGGGACACAAAACAAGGUGCUGCAUGGCCGUCGUCAGCUCGUGCCGUGAGGUGUUGGGUUAAGUCCCGCAACGAGCGCAACCCCUAUGUUUAGUUGCCAGCACGUAAUGGUGGGGACUCUAGACAGACUGCCUCCGCAAGGAGUGAGGAAGGCGGGGACGACGUCAGGUCAUCAUGGCCCUUACGCCCAGGGCUACACACGUGCUACAAUGGCCGGUACAGCGGGUUGCGACUGGGUGACCAGAAGCCAAUCUCUCUAAAGCCGGUCUCAGUUCGGAUCGGAGUCUGCAACUCGACUCCGUGAAGCUGGAAUCACUAGUAAUCGCGUAUCAGCAAUGACGCGGUGAAUACGUUCCCGGGCCUUGUACACACCGCCCGU